AUUGAACGCUGGCGGCAGGCUUAACACAUGCAAGUCGAGCGAGCGGCGGACGGGUGAGUAAUGUCUGGGACCCUGCCUGAUGGAGGGGGAUAACUACUGGAAACGGUAGCUAAUCCCGCCUACCAUCAGAUGUGCCCAGCUGGGCUUAGCUAGUGGGUGGGGUAAUGGGGCACCUAGGCGACGAUCCCUAGCUGGUCUGAGAGGAUGACCAGCCACACUGGAACUGAUGCACGGUCCAUACGCCUACGGGAGGCAGCAGUGGGGAAUAUUGCACAAUGGGCGCAAGCCUGAUGCAGCCAUGCCGCGGGUGUGAAGAAGGCCUUCGGGUUGUAAAGCACUUUCAGCGAGGAGGCGUUACUCGCAGAAGAAGCACCGGCUAACUCCGUGCCAGCAGCCGCGGUAAUUC
rnacentral:rRNA from 1 species